rfam:Triticum aestivum genome assembly, contig: Triticum_aestivum_CS42_TGACv1_scaffold_100232_2AL
UUUCUACUCCCUCCGUCUGAAAAUACUUGUCAUCAAAAUGGAUAAAAAGAGAUGUAUCUAAAACAAAAAUACGUCUAGAUACAUUUCCUUUUAUCCAUUUUGAUGACAAGUAUUUCCGGACGGAGGGAGUAUUUG